ACUUGGUGGACAAUUUCACAACCC
rnacentral:miRNA from 1 species